CAGAGGUGUAACAAUAGACGUGAUGGGAUUUGUGUUUGGAACAGCAUGGUGGGGGGACCCGGAAGGGGACUUUUGUCCACUCUCUGUCCCCACUCUUCCUUCUUUGGUUCUUCUUCCUCCCCUAUGUCCAGUUCUCUACUUCUGAGGGCUCUCUAGAUUCGUGGCAGAUUUCAAAAUUAUUUUCUGAAGAUUGGAUCCUUGAAAUCUGUUUGCCUAUGGUGCGUCUGCUUCCAAGUUGGAUAACUACAGUAGUGAUGUUGACAAUGGCGGUCAAAGAAGAAAUUAUAAUUGUUGCAAGAGAAAGAGAAAGAGACAGAGAGCCGCGUGGCUCAAAGGGUGGCAGAGAGGAGGCCGAGGAAGAGGUGGGUGGACUGGGAAGAGAGUCAGCAGGUGGAACGGUGCGUGAACCCAGUGGGUCUGACUGGGGGAGUUCAGGAGAGAAAAAGCAAAAACAUGUCCAGAUUUCUGGCCUUAGGCCACCAUGUGGAUGCGCGUCUGGUUCAAUCAGAGAAAGAACCUGGAGGAGGAGGAGGACAGUGAAUCCAGAGACACUCUGAUAAGGCUGAAGACAACUCCACAUGUCUCCACUAUGUAUAGACAGGAUUCUUACAUGAUCCUUUCAACGUUCAUCUCCUGUAAAGGAGAGAUUUGCAUUUGACUAGGUGACUAAUUAGCUCCAAUAGGGUUUGUGGGAGGAAAGAGUGUUGGAAAUGGAGAAAUGAAGACAGGAGAUUAGGGAAGGCAUUACUGUACAAGAACUGAAGAUAAGUCCCGCCGGGACUAGAAAUAACUGAAGUGGUACUUCCUGGCUGG
rnacentral:lncRNA from 1 species